GAUGAACGCUGGCGGCGUGCCUAAUACAUGCAAGUCGAGCGAACGGACGAGAAGCUUGCUUUUCUGAUGUUAGCGGCGGACGGGUGAGUAACACGUGGAUAACCUACCUAUAAGACUGGGAUAACUUCGGGAAACCGGAGCUAAUACCGGCUAAUAUUUUAAACCGCAUGGUUCAAAAGUGAAAGACGGUCUUGCUGUCACUUAUAGAUGGAUCCGCGCUGCAUUAGCUAGUUGGUAAGGUAACGGCUUACCAAGGCAACGAUGCAUAGCCGACCUGAGAGGGUGAUCGGCCACACUGGAACUGAGACACGGUCCAGACUCCUACGGGAGGCAGCAGUAGGGAAUCUUCGGCAAUGGGCGAAAGCCUGACGGAGCAACGCCGCGUGAGUGAUGAAGGUCUUCGGAUCGUAAAACUCUGUUAUUAGGGAAGAACAUAUGUGUAAGUAACUGUGCACAUCUUGACGGUACCUAAUCAGAAAGCCACGGCUAACUACGUG
rnacentral:rRNA from 1 species